UACAGAGGGUGCAAGCGUUGUCCGGAAUCACUGGGCGUAAAGGGCGCGUAGGCGGCCUGAUAAGUCGGGGGUGAAAUUCUGCAGCUUAACCGCAGGACGGCCUUCGAGACUGUCGGGCUUGAGCACGGUAGAGGCUGGUGGAAUUCCCGGUGUAGCGGUGGAAUGCGUAGAGAUCGGGAAGAACAUCGGUGGCGAAGGCGGCCAGCUGGGCCGUUGCUGACGCUGAGGCGCGACAGCGUGGGGAGCAAACAGG
rnacentral:rRNA from 1 species